rnacentral:rRNA from 1 species
AUUGAACGCUGGCGGCAGGCCUAACACAUGCAAGUCGAACGAGAAGCGGAAGGGUGAGCAAGGGAUGGGAAACUGCCUGAUGGAGGGGGAUAACUGCUGGAAACGGUGGCUAAAAGCGCAAACCGUCAGAUGGGGCCAGAGGGGUUUAGCUAGUGGGUGGGGUAACGGCUCACCAAGGGGACGAUCCCUAGCUGGUCUGAGAGGAUGACCAGCCACACUGGAACUGAGACACGGUCCAGACUCCUACGGGAGGCAGCAGUGGGGAAUAUUGCACAAUGGGCGCAAGCCUGAUGCAGCCACGCCGCGUGUAUGAAGAAGGCCUUCGGGUUGUAAAGUACUUUCAGCGGGGAGGCGUUACCCGCAGAAGAAGCACCGGCUAACUCCGUGCCAGCAGCCGCGGUAAUAC